rnacentral:hammerhead_ribozyme from 1 species
AUCCAGCUGACGAGUCCGAAAUGGGACGAAACGCGCAUCCUGGAU